rnacentral:rRNA from 1 species
UACGAUUAACCCAAACUAAUACUUACCGGCGUAAAAUGUGUUUAGAAUUCCCAAACAAUAAAGUUCAACCAAAACUAGGCCGUAAAAAGCUACAACUGAAAUAAAAACCUCAACGAAAGUGACUUUAACAAAUCCGAAUACACAAUAGCUAGGACCCAAACUGGGAUUAGAUACCCCACUAUGCCUAGCCCUAAACCAGGACAUUUAACUAAACUAAAAUGUUUGCCAGAGUACUACUAGCAACAGCUUGAAACUCAAAGGACUUGACGGUGCUUCACAUCCCCCUAGAGGAACCUGUCCUAUAAUCGACAAACCCCGAUAAACCUCACCACCCCUUGCUAAUACAGCCUAUAUACCGCCAUCUCCAGCAAACCUUAAAAAAGCCCCACAGUAAGCACAACUAUCACACAUAAGUACGUUAGGUCAAGGUGUAGCCCAUGAGGUGGAAAGAGAUGGGUUACAUUUUCUCAAAAAGAAUAACCCACGAAAACUUUUGUGAAAUUUCAAAAGCCAAAGGAGGAUUUAGAAGUAAUUUAAGAAUAGAGAGCUUAAUUGAACUAGGCCAUGAAGCACGC